AGAGUUUGAUCCUGGCUCAGAUUGAACGCUGGCGGCAUGCCUUACACAUGCAAGUCGAACGGUAAAAGGAGCGAUCCUUCGAGAGUGGCGAACGGGUGAGUAAUAUAUCGGAACGUGCCCAGUUGUGGGGGAUAAUGUAGAGAAAUUUACGCUAAUACCGCAUGAGAUCUACGGAUGAAAGCGGGGGACCUUGCAAGAGGCCUCGCGCGACUGGAGCGGCUGAUAUCAGAUUAGGUUGUUGGUGAGGUAAAAGCUCACCAAGCCGACGAUCUGUAGCUGGUUUGAGAGAACGACCAGCCGCACUGGAACUGAGACACGGCCCAGACUCCUACGAGAGGCAGCAGUGGGGAAUUUUGGACAAUGGGCGAAAGCCUGAUCCAGCAAUGCCGCGUGUGGGAAGAAGGCCUUCGGGUUGUAAACUGCUUUUGUACGGAACGAAAAGGUCUGCCUUAAUACGGCGGGCCCAUGACGGUACCGUAAGAAUAAGCACCGGCUAACUACGUGCCAGCAGCCGCGGUAAUACGUAGGGUGCGAGCGUUAAUCGGAAUUACUGGGCGUAAAGCGUGCGCAGGCGGUGAUGUAAGACAGUUGUGAAAUCC
rnacentral:rRNA from 1 species